rnacentral:rRNA from 1 species
UACGGAGGGGGCUAGCGUUAUUCGGAAUUACUGGGCGUGAAGCGUUCGUAGGCGGCUUUGUAAGUCAGAGGUGAGAGCCCACGACUCAAUCGUGGAACUGCCUUUGAGACUGCUUCGCUUGAAGAUGGGAGAGGUUAGUGGAAUUCCGAGUGUAGAGGUGAAAUUCGUAGAUAUUCGGAAGAACACCAGUGGCGAAGGCGGCUAACUGGACCAUUCUUGACGCUGAGGAGCUAAAGCGUGGGCAGCAAACAGG